AGAGUUUGAUCCUGGCUCAGGAUGAACGCUGGCGGCGUGCUUAACACAUGCAAGUCGAGCGAAGCAAUUUAAGUGAAGUUUUCGGAUGGAUCUUAAAUUGACUGAGCGGCGGACGGGUGAGUAACGCGUGGAUAACCUGCCUCACACAGGGGGAUAACAGUUAGAAAUGACUGCUAAUACCGCAUAAGCGCACGGCAUCGCAUGAUGCAGUGUGAAAAACUCCGGUGGUGUGAGAUGGAUCCGCGUCUGAUUAGGUAGUUGGUGAGGUAACGGCCCACCAAGCCGACGAUCAGUAGCCGACCUGAGAGGGUGACCGGCCACAUUGGGACUGAGACACGGCCCAAACUCCUACGGGAGGCAGCAGUGGGGAAUAUUGCACAAUGGGCGAAAGCCUGAUGCAGCGACGCCGCGUGAGUGAAGAAGUAUCUCGGUAUGUAAAGCUCUAUCAGCAGGGAAGAAAAUGACGGUACCUGACUAAGAAGCCCCGGCUAACUACGUGCCAGCAGCCGCGGUAAUACGUAGGGGGCAAGCGUUAUCCGGAUUUACUGGGUGUAAAGGGAGCGUAGACGGCGACGCAAGUCUGAAGUGAAAUACCCGGGCUCAACCUGGGAACUGCUUUGGAAACUGUGUUGCUAGAGUGCUGGAGAGGUAAGCGGAAUUCCUAGUGUAGCGGUGAAAUGCGUAGAUAUUAGGAAGAACACCAGUGGCGAAGGCGGCUUACUGGACAGUAACUGACGUUGAGGCUCGAAAGCGUGGGGAGCAAACAGGAUUAGAUACCCUGGUAGUCCACGCC
rnacentral:rRNA from 1 species